rnacentral:lncRNA from 1 species
CUGGCUAAAGACCGGAGUUCAAGAUCACUGAUUGUUACCUCAGAUCUUUUUACAAUCUCUGCCUUUUCCUUUUCUUCUUUCGACGGCUUCUUUUCACUCUCGGCCAACGGCGGAUUCUCCACCUUAACUGGAGGAGCUGCCUCCUCAGGUUUUUUGGGAUUCUCCUCUUGUGGUGGUGGACUUGGUUUCUCCUCUUCUUUUUUUGCCUCUUUAUUGGACUCCGUCUUUGGCUCUUCUUUCUUCUCCUCUUCUUUUUUCUCUUCCUCAGGUUUCGCCUCUUCUGCUGGCUUAUUCUCUUCCGUCUCUGGUGCCUUCUCCUCAGGUUUCUGCUCUGCUGGUGGAGCCGGAGGAUCUUCGUCGAUGUAAUAGACUUUCAGCCCCAGCUCUCCUUUAAUCUGCGAAAACACGCUUCGUUUCUCCAACGGAUAAUAAACAAGAGUCUCUCCUCCAGAUUUAACGAAAGCACUAC